rnacentral:lncRNA from 1 species
CUGGUGUGGGUUCCUCCUCCUGGUUCCGCGUCACAGUGAGGUCUAGAGGCGUGUCGAGGUCCGGACGCCGGGAGCCCGUGUCGGUCGAGGUGGUGAGGCGCGUCUUGGAGGCGUACUCCGCAGCAAACUGCCGGACCAUCCUCCUCAUCAGUUCCUGGGCUACCAGAGGGACGUCGGGGUCCUCGCCGGACGCCAGCUCUGGCGCGGACAGACAAUCAAUCAAUCACCGUCUACGUACAUUUCUCUAGCGUGUAUAAAACCGGGUAGCUAACGAUGCUACGUUAGCGUUGUUUAGCAUUUAAGAGUGUAAAUGCCAGGCGUUCGAUGCUACGUAGCGUUGUUAGCAUUAAGAGUGUAAAUGCCAGGCGUUCGAUGCUACGUAGCGUUGUUAAGCAUUAAGAGUGUAAAGGCCAGGCGUUCGAUGCUACGUAGCGUUGUUAGCAUUAAGAGUGUAAAUGCUACGUAGCGUUGUUAGCAUUAAGAGUGUAAAGGCCAGGCGUUUGAUGCUACGUAGCGUUGUUAAGCAUUAAGAGUGUAAAUGCUACGUAGCGUUGUUAGCAUUAAGAGUGUAAAUGCUACGUAGCGUUGUUAAGCAUUAAGAGUGUAAAUGCUAAGGCGUUCGAUGCUACGUAGCGUUGUUAGCAUUAAGAGUGUAAAUGCUAAGGCGUUCGAUGCUACGUAGCGUUGUUAGCAUUAAGAGUGUAAAUGCUACGUAGCGUUGUUAGCAUUAAGAGUGUAAAUGCUACGCGUUCGAUGCUACGUAGCGUUGUUAGCAUUAAGA